UACGGGGGGGGCAAGCGUUGUUCGGAAUUACUGGGCGUAAAGGGCUCGUAGGCGGCCAACUAAGUCAGACGUGAAAUCCCUCGGCUUAACCGGGGAACUGCGUCUGAUACUGGAUGGCUUGAGUUUGGGAGAGGGAUGCGGAAUUCCAGGUGUAGCGGUGAAAUGCGUAGAGAUCGGGAGGAAGGCCGGUGGCGAAGGCGGCGCUCUGGAACAUUUCUGACGCUGAGGCUCGAAAGCGUGGGGAGCAAACAGG
rnacentral:rRNA from 1 species